GACGUAGGAGGCGAGCGUUGUCCGGAUUCAUUGGGCGUAAAGAGCACGCAGGCGGUUUGGCAAGUCGGAUGUGAAAACCCGAAGCUCAACUCCGGGCCUGCAGCCGAUACGGGCAGACUAGAGUUCGGCAGGGGAGACUGGAAUUCCUGGUGUAGCGGUGAAAUGCGCAGAUAUCAGGAGGAACACCGGUGGCGAAGGCGGGUCUCUGGGCCGAUACUGACGCUGAGGAGCGAAAGCGUGGGGAGCGAACAGG
rnacentral:rRNA from 1 species